CCCGCUCUGGAGGCGGCGCUCCGGAGGCGGGGGUGGGUGUGGGGAGGCCGGCCUGACGUGGUUCCGGUGCCCCCUGGCAAGCCUUGCCAGUCCUCCUGCCUGAGCCACGGUCCCCGUCCCCGCGGGAGCUUCUUGACGCAAAAAACGCGGCCUGUUCCGGGGUCCUGGUUCCUUUCUAAAAGACCCACAUUUUUGCCGGUCCCUGGCGUUGAGAGAGCUGUGAGUUAAGAUUUCUGUGCGCGGGGACCAGGGUUCGAAGCUGCUAGAGCCGGAGACAUGGCUGCUGGUGUCUCAGAUGAGGCUCGUGAGGAACCCUUAAGAGACAGAAAACAGUUUCUGGAGGAAACGGCACGAUUCACUUAUAUGGUUAUUCUUGUCAUCCUUGUCACCAGUGCUGUCAAAUAGCAAUAUGAUGCGAUCCACACAUGUAUUCAAAGAAUUACCAACAGGCGCAGAAAAAGCCCCAGGAACUGAGAUAAAAUUUCAUAUGUUGUGUUCCGGAAAAUCACUUUGAGCAGAACCGAGGGUGCUUGCCAUCAAGAACUACUUUGGGGGAAGUUUCUGUUUCCAGCCUUAGGCUGGGCGGCUUUCCGGAGUAGAGACUGUGACUUUCUCACUAAAUUGAUAUCAAAAUGAGUUUUGGCUCAACUCAAGGUAUCUCUGCCCUUUGGGGAAGUGCAGCCACUAUGGAUUCUUUAAAAUCAGCAACCUCUACAGCACCUACCCAGAGUCAUGCCAAGCUUACAGAUUAGUUGUUUACUGUUUCUACAUUGAUGAUGGGGGUAUUCGUCUGAAUAUAUUUAUGUAUAUAUAUAUAUUUUAAAGUUUACUUUUGAGAGAGAGA